rnacentral:rRNA from 1 species
UUAUUCAAUAAGUUUAUAGUUUUAUUAUUCACGAAGCCAUACGAGCUAAUUUUUAGAUCAUAAUAGUGAUUGUAAAGUAAUGUAGUAAUAUUAUUUAAAUACCAGAAAAUAGGGGUGAAAGGCCUAUCAGGUUUGGCGAUAUCUUGAAAAUAAAGAAAUAUAUUUAGUAUAUAAGACAACCUAAAAAUGAUAAGGUUUUUAGGUAGCAUAAUUUUAGAUUUAUAUUGUAUAGUCUUAGUAAAAUAAACUAUAUAUAAAAUAUAAUUAUUAAUUACUUUUCCAAUAUGGUAAUUAUUUAUUAGCUUUAGAUAGUUAAAAUAAAAGUCCAAAAUGAAUACAUAAGUAUUAACUCAUAUUAGUAUAAGGAACUCGGCAAACAUAAAUUUCGACUGUUUAUCAAAAACAUGCCUACAGGUAAUUUUGUAGGUUAACCCUGCUCAAUGAUAAUAUUAAAUAGCCGCAGUACCCUGACUGUGCAAAGGUAGCAUAAUCAUUUGGCUUAUAAUUGAAGUCUGGCAUGAACGGGAAUACGGAAUUAAACUGUCUCAAUAUAACAAAUAGAAAUUACUUAGCAAGUGAAAAUUCUUGCAUUUAAAUAAAAGACGAGAAGACCCUAGAAAUUUUUUAAAAUAAAUUAAUACUAAUAUUUUGUUGGGGCGACAUGGUAUCAAUUUGAACAUACCAAACAAUAUGGAUUUAUUUAGAGGCAUAACUAAAUUACUCUAGGGAUAACAGCAUAAUAUUAAAAAGUUUGUGACCUCGAUGUUGGACUAGGAACUAAUUUAUCUAGAAGAUAAGUUAUUAGGCUCUGUUCGAGCCAUAUUUCCUACAUGAUCUGAGUUCAGACCGG